CCGGGAGCGGCACCGGGAGCCGGGGAGCGCGAUGGUCGGGGCCCUGCGCUGGAACCCCGCUCAUCCAUCCCGGCCGUGCGCCCGUCGCCGUUCGGGGGCUUCGGGCUCUCGGUGCCUCUAAUGACGGCCGCGAGUACCGAUAACUGGGUCAGCGGGGACUUACCGGAGCGGAAUCCCUGAUCCCUGGGGCUUCCCGCGGCAUCCCGGGCGGAUCCAGCAGAUCCUCGGGCGGAGCGGCACCGGGGCCGGUGGGAGGACCUGCCGCGGUGCCCGUGCCCCAGCGGAGGCGGCCGGGUCCCUCGGCACAGGUUCCUCUCUCAGGCGGCAGGUGCUGGGAGGCGCUCCCUCCCCUCACUCGGCCCUUUAGAGCCUAAACCCGCGCUCCCUAGCAGCACUCUGCAAAGCAGCGGUAAGCAAGGCAGCGUACCACUGAAUAUUGUACAGUUUUUCUAUUAGAUUUACUGGGUUUUACCUUUCUCUCCGUGUUUUCACCAGAGCAGCUUCCUUGUGUGGUGCUCGUUGGGACCUUGCAGAGGGGGAGGUCUCAGCCCCAGGUGCGGGGAAGGACCGUGCCCUCCCAGCGGCUCCUCCAGCUGCUCACAGAACCCCUGCUUUUGGCCAGGGAGGAGGAACAGAGCCCAGCUGUGGGCUGUGAAGUGCUUCUGUGUAGUACUGCACAUCUGGUAACCUCUGGUACCUCCACAGGGUGUAAAACCCGCCCUGUAAGAGCUCUUCUCCUUAUUUCUCUGGAGCUCUGCUGUGUUUGGGAGUGAACCCAGGGACAGGCAGCCCGCUGUGCCCGAGGUGCAGUGCAGGGUCCUCUUCUCCUGCCCUGCCCCAGAGGCUGGCUCAGGCCGGGGCUGUGCACAGACCAGACAGGCAGAUGUGUGGCAAUAGAGGGGACAGGCAGUGCGACUGUCUGGAUGGAAAAUUCCUUGUCAAACCACUCAGAUGUGACUUUAGGAGCGUUCGGUGCUGGGGACUCUCUUGUGCAAGCAGUUCCAGCCUUGCUGUGGAUCAGUGCUGUCAGCCCAGGUUAUCUCAGCUGCCUCCCCGUGGAGUUUGUACCCUCAGCCCCCCUCGGGCUGGGACCAGCAGGUUCUUCUUCAGCUCUGUGCAUGAGCUGCAGGACACAAAAUCCCUGCACUCACAGAACUCUGCUGUGUCACUCGUGUCCCAUAAAACCUUCCCAAGGAUACCUCCCUGUUCAAACCCAAAAAUGUCCUUUGGCAGCUUAUUCCACCAAAAGUAAUUUCCCUGGGUGUUAUAGCCCUUCCCUGCCCUGUUAAUGUUCAUUUCAAUGCCUGGACCCAGCUCCUGCCUGCUGGGUUUUGCCUUGGCUGCUGAGCUUUUCCAGAAUGGGGAUUUUGAGCAUCCAGUAUCCUUCUUCUAAAAUAAUGAUACUUGCAAAUAUUUAUAAAAUCAUUCCCCAGAUGUUUAUUUAAGAAAUCAAAACUCUGGAACUCAGUGAUGUCUCUCAUUCAAAGACAUUUUCUCCUCAAUUCUAGAACAAAUACUUUUCCUCUCUUUUCUAAAACUUUCUCAUUUUUGUCCUGUUUGGUAUCAGCCCUUCUUACAGUAUUUAUAUGGAGAGCUUUUCCUCCAACUGUUCUUUUAGACCCCUCUCCAGAGGGGGAACUUCUCCAUUUUUUUUAAAGACCUGUCGUUGCUCAAAAUUCUGGUUUUGCCUUCUGAAGAAAUGUGUUACAAGAGAAUAAAUUUGUCACUCCCA